AACGAACGCUGGCGGCAGGCCUAACACAUGCAAGUCGAGCGAAGCCUUCGGGCUUAGCGGCGGACGGGUGAGUAACGCGUGGGAACGUGCCCUUUGGUACGGAAUAGCCCCGGGAAACUGGGAGUAAUACCGUAUGUGGUCGAGAGACGAAAGAUUUAUCGCCAAAGGAUCGGCCCGCGUUGGAUUAGGUAGUUGGUGGGGUAAUGGCCUACCAAGGCGAUGAUCAAUAGCUGGUCUGAGAGGACGACCAGCCACGUUGGAACUGAGACACGGUCCAGACUCCUACGGGAGGCAGCAGCUAAGAAUAUUGGACAAUGGGGGAAACCCUGAUCCAGCCAUGCCGCGUGAAUGAAGAAGGCCUUCGGGUUGUAAAGUUCUUUUAGUCGUGAAGAUGAUGACAGUAGCGACAGAAAAAGCACCGGCUAACUUCGUGCCAGCCGCCGCCGUAAGAC
rnacentral:rRNA from 1 species